CGGGGGGAAGGGACAGCAGGGGGUGGCGGCGGCUGUGACAGCGAGGGGACAGCGCUGGAGCACGGGAGGGGCUGCGGCCCGAGGCUCCGGAGAGCUCGGCACGGCUCGGAGGGGCGGGAUGGAGUGCCGGGGACGGGGGGUGGCACGGGGCGUCCCCUUGCCGGGGUUGUUCCUGCCGGGGUGUCCCCUCCCGGGAUGUCCCCUCUCGGGGUCCCAGCCGUGUCCCUGCCAUCAGCCGGGGCUGUCCCCUUCAGGGGUGUCCCCUCUCGGGGCUGGCCCUUUGCCGGGUUGUCCCUCUCGGGUCCCAGCCGUGUCCCUGCCAUCAGCCGGGGGUGUCCCUGCCGGGUUGUCCCUCUCGGGCGUCUCCUCCCGGGGCUGUCCCCUGUAGGGCUGUCCCUUUCAGGGUCCCAGCCGUGUCCUUGCCAUCAGCCGGGGCUGUCCCCUUCAGGGGUGUCCCUGCCACCAGCCGGAGCUGUCCCCUCCCAGGGCUGUUCCUUUUAGGGUCCCAGCCGUGUCCCUGCCAUCAGCCGGGGCCGCUCCCGGCGCUCCCAAGUUUCCGUCCAGGAGCGCUCGAGCUCCGCUGAGGGCAGAAGCGGUUUCUGUGCACAGCCGUGAGCGUCUGAGGGACUGCCUCUGUGGAAAGCAUCUCCUGGCGCUGCAGAAAGUGGGACAGUCCUCCUCUGCCCGUUAGGUUGUUACUGUGAAUGGAUUGCGAAGACAAAAGCUGUGGAUGCAUUGAUGAUGCCACUGUGUUAAUCAUGGUGUUAAAGCAGAAGAAUGCAUCUUGCCUGUGUCAGCACAAGUGAUUGGCUUGGGAAGACUAUACAGGACCUUGUAUGAGCACAGCUGCAGGUGAUACACCUAUUUCUGCAGGUAUCUACAGUUCCAAACCAGACUUGGGACUUCAGGUAACUCUCAGUUUAUGCAAGGAGCCCAUUGCUGUGCUGUCUGACUCCAGAGUGCCCAUGUGAGGGCUGACAACCCCAAAAGUGCAGUGCCCACAUUCCCAGGGCCAAUUCCCUCUGCCUCACAUAGGCAGGCAGUGUCAAACCAGCCCUGAAAAUGAUGGUCAAGGUUUGAUAAAAGGUAUAACUCAUCAGUAUGUGCAGAAGUCUCUGCAAAACCCAGAUGGGAAAAUGACCUUGAUUCCUGCAGUUAAAGAGAAAAUGAGGCUUGGGCCAGUUUAAUUCCCAAGGUUGCACAUUGAUUUCAUUGGAGGUGCCCUGGGGGUGAGUUUGAUUCUCAACUCUUUCAAGUUUUCAAAACAAAGCAGAAUCCAGGUGGGCGGCAGUAUGGAACUAAUAGGGGUUUUUUGUUUGGAUUUUGGGGUUGGCUUUUUUUUGGUCAGUUGUUUUAGUACAAGCUACACAUGAUGUACAAUAAUUCCUGCAAAUCUGUAGGAGCAGGCAGCUAUUUUACAAAGAAAAAAUAAAACUUUCACCUGGAACCAGCUCAGGUUUAGAGAGAUUUCCUUUUAUUGAUGAACAUGUCUUUCUGUUUAAAGUACCCCCAGCUUUGACUCUCAGGACUGCAGCCAUUCUGUCUCUCUGCAGCCACCACCUGCUGAUGUGUUUGCUUGUCCAGAAGAACAUAUCUCUGAAAGAAAACUGGUUUUACUGAAUUAAUAUAAAGUGGGAUCAAACUGCAGCAGUUCAAGUUAAAUUUCUACAUGGAUAUGGACUCCACAGUUUGGGAAGUGUCAUCCUCAAGAUGUUUCUCAUGCCUAUCAUGCACGCAGGCUGCAGCCUGGCUAGCGUGGAACCAGCAGGACGGCACUCCUUGGUUCCUGCUGGUCCUGCUCAGCCUCGGGUGCUCGCACCAUCACUUUGCUCAGGGUGUGGCAAUGACACCUUGCUGGGCAGGAGCUCUCCUGGUGCACAACCGGUGCAGUUUGAGACACAGAGGUGUAAAGUGAAGCCCGUGACAGCUUGAGGGAUUGCGUGGGCCUUUAUCAGCCAGAACCUCUCUGAGCGCAAACACAGAAAUGUUGUUGACAGACAACUUUCAUAAAUUGCUUUGUUGAGUGUCAGCUUCACUUCACAGCACAUUGUCACAUGCCAGUGCUGACACUUGUGGCAGAACUUGCUGGCCCAGUAUGGCAUGCUCGUCUGUAGCUUUUUCUGCAUUUUCUUCCUAAGAAAAUCCUUAUGGUCCAAACUGGAGCCAUUUUAUCAGGUUUUGUCCUUGAUGCAUGGGUGAGAGGGGAUGUUUUGCACAGUGUGUGCAGCCAGAACCAUGCCUACAUCACAAUUAAAAAUGGGGUGAAACAAAAUGAAUGCUUUUAGUGUACUCAUAUUUCUGUGCUGUAUUUUCUUCUGCUGGAUUUCUAAUGCUCAAAAUCUUUUAUAGGAGCAUCUAUUACUCAGAGAGCAAAGGUUUGCUGCCGCCUUAGCAGAGUUAACAGUAGUUAUGGGCCAGAUUAGAAGAAAACAUCCUUCUUUUUUAUCAUUUACUUUUCUGAGGCGUUUGCCCAAAGCCAUGCCAUCAUGGCAAGGAAAUUUGUCCUGCUAGUAUCACAUAGAGCCAGACAAGGGUUGAGGUCACUAUGAUGUUAAACUGAGUCACAAAACUUCCUAAAUGGUUGCUGUAUGUGUGGCUAAAGAAAGGAAAAAAAGAAACAUCACUCAUCAAGACUUUAACACCAAGUAAGAAGAGCGAGAAGCAAUGAAGAGACUGUAGGAACUUCAAAGUACACAAAAAAAUUCUCUGUGGAUUCCCCUUUUCCCUGAAAAUCGGGAAGCAGCAGAUGGAUAAUCAAGAAAACUCACAUCACCUCCUUGAGAUAAGGCCUGGGGACAGAGCUUGCAAGGCACUUGAGUAAAAAAAACAUGCAGGAAGCUGUAGAUGGUAUCUGCAAGCUGUGGAUCCCCUGGAUUUUCCCAGGCACCUGGAGGGUGUUGGGUUACCUGGAGUCAGCAGCUGGUGCAGGUGCUCACUGUGCAGCUGGGCUGUGCAGCCUCACUGUGUUUGGGUUAUCCUGAUGAUGGGUUAUCAGGAGUCCCUGCAUUACACCACAAGCUGACUUUUGCAGCUUCCUAGAGGUCAGGAAAAAACCCCAGUAUUUCCUCAGGGUUUUUGUCAUGGUUUAUGCCAUAGGAUGGGGCUCAUGGUUAAGAAGGGAGCAAGGAGAGCCAGCACUUAAUUUCAACACAUGGCAGAAGACCUGCUCUGAGGUGGUGCAGACACUGGGUGAGAGCAGGAGCAGUUGGCUCUCCCUGUGGGCAAACUCAGUGAGUGUCAUGGGAAAGUGAUUAGCUCAAAUACCUUGGAACAAAGGAGCAGAUUAUUUUGAUAUUUAGGCCUGAAUAUGGCAUUUGUUGUUAUGAUUUGGCCAAAGAGUAUUAAUAAGGCAAAAGCCCAGUGGGGGAAGUGGUAAGUGAGUCCCACAAUGGAAAAAUUAGCACAUGGUAGGACUGGGUCUCCUGUUGCCCACAGCUUUUUGGGGCUUAGGCAAAGGGUACCCUGCACAUAAGGCCACAGUAAUUUUCAGUCUCAUGAUGGAACUGCUCUAGAUGAUGUCAAUGCCCUUGGCUAGCUGCCAUGGCAGGGUGCAGAAGAGGCUGUGGUAUCAAGGUGUGUUGGGGGUGUUCCAUUCUGUGCUGGUGCUGGGCUUUCCCUCCACUAGGGCAGCAGGAAAACCUGUGGCUCAGUGCCUAAACAAUGGUCUGAUGUUUGGUGACUCGCACAGCUCAGGAUCCUGCUAGCUCAACAUGUUCGCCUUGAGGCUCCAUUUCUUUGAGUGCACAGGUCUCCAGUGAUCCUUUAAUUUGGGAUGCUCUCUAGUUUGUGAGGGAGAUGAAAUAUAGGCAGUGAAUUACAUCAUAUGGGGCUGGGUGUGUGCUCCCAAGCUGAACAUGUGUCAGUGGCCUUGCUGCAGUGCUGUGGGGCUGGAGGGCAGCAGGAACCCACUCUGACCCGAUGUGUAGCACAGGGGGAUUGCCCGCUCUAGGUGCAGCAUUGGGCAGCAGAGCUGGGGGAAGAGGCUUUUAUUUCAAGGUUUUAGCUUUUCCAAAAUACAAAAGGACGUGCUUGAAAUUCAUUCCUUCACGCUGAUCCUGGGAAUCCUCCAUAACCUUGAGCUCUGGCUGUCUCUUUGCUCACCGAGCCCUGACGCGCCCCAGCAUCGCCUCGUGUGUGGGGAGGGAGUGAGGGAGGCUCUGGGGCAGAAGUGGCUUUGCAGGAGCACCGUGGCCAGCCCUGGCACAGCCCUGGCACUGCCCUCUCCCUGGCACUGCCAGCAGCAGCUCUGCCUGUGUGGCUGCCAGCCAGCUGAGGCACUGGCUGGGACGGCACAGGUGCCUCCACAAUUAAGGUGGUAUUUGAAAUUUCACAGGUGCCCGUUAUGAGUGAUGCAAACACCCACUCAGUGUGUAACUGCAAGGCUUUAGGCUGGUUCCCUGUGUAUAAAGAACUGUUCUGUUCCCUCUCCAGGCCCUUGAGUGAUUGCUUUUUUCCUUUUGUUUUCACUCCUCGCAGGACCUGUGCCCAUGGCUGAGCAGCAAAGGCUUCCCAGGCCCCUCACCCAGGGCAGUGCCUGUUUUUGUCACAGCAGCUCCAGCACUGCUGCUGCUGCUCGUGCCCAAAGUGGCCAGAGAUGAGGCAAUGUGUGUGAUCUGUAACAGGGCACCCACUGCCCACCCUGCCCUGCUUCAGUCCCACCCAGCAGCGAGGGUUCACUGCUGACCCCCCACCCACAGGGAGAGAAAGCACCAGACAAGGAGAGCCUUGCCAGUCCCCACUAAAGCCCUGGUUGCUGUAGAUGGGCUCAGCACGGGGCAUCCCUCACCCCACUGCCCUCCUGCUGGCCUUUUCCCACUUGGGAACUCGUUACCUCUGAAGUGCUGCUGCAGCAUCUGCAGCCCUGGCACUGGCAGGACUCGUGCCCACACCCAAAUCCAGGCUGCUGCAGCACCUCAGGGCCUCAGACCAUCACAGUGGUAAGGCUGGGGACUGGAGGGGUUUGCAGCCUCUGCUUUGAACAUGUGUGGUAUGUGUGGAGCCAGAACAUUUAGGGAGACCCCAGCUGCUAGAAGGAAAUGUCCUCACCCUGGCACAACUGGACAGGCACAACCACCCAUGUUCCUCUACACCUGCUCCCUCCUAGGCACACCCACCCCCACAUCCCUCUUUCCAUUGCUCAAGUCCUGUUACCCUCUCAUACAGCACAUGCCUUACUAUUUCCAUCUGACAGCAAGGAUUUCAGCAGCAUUUCUUGAUCUGUUUCAUAUUUUAAAGCAAGCAGCUAUCCCUCCUGCCCUUUAUGUCCUAACUCUACCCUAAUAAAUAUGAUUGCUUCAUCCUGUGAGACCUGAAAACCCAUUUCUGAAAUUCCCCUGGCAACUAAUACAGUAAAACAAGCAUAUAAAUAAUUAUGAUAGAAAGGCAUAAAAUGCCAGACUUGGGUCAAAUAUACUCAUGGAGUGACAUUAGCAACAAAUAACUACGCAGGGUUUGAAUGUAGAUGGAAAAGGCUGAAUAAAGAGUAGCUACUUCAUUGCCCAUAACUGCCAGGCUCCUAAUUUGGGCAGGCCAUAUUUUACUGAUAGCAGAGCAAACACAGUCAUAAUGUACCCCUACCUUUCCUGCUUUGUGAAAAAUCCCAUCCAUCCCCAGGGAAGCAAGGAUGUAAAAAAUAGCGGUGUGAACGUGAGGUGAAAGGAUAAGACAGAAAGCACAGUCACAGGAUGCAAUUCCCAUGUGUUUGUUGCACAUCAUAUGCUAAGUUCAAUUUUCCAAAAGCUUUGUUUUAUUUUUAAAGGUAACAUCUUUAUUAUUAUUAUUAUAUUUAUUAGUUAUUAUUAUUAUUAUUAUG